GAUGAACGCUGGCGGCGUGCCUAAUACAUGCAAGUCGAGCGAAAGGACCAUACUCUUGUUGCUCUCAUGUUAGCGGCAGGGGGGUGUGUCACGUGUGUAUACCCUCCCUAUCUGUCUGGGAUCAUUUCGAGAAACCGGAUCUAAUACCGGAUAAUAUUUUGAUCCACAUUGGUCAAUAGAGAAUGACGGUCUUUCUGUAAGUUCUCGAUGCAUCUGCGCUGCAUUGGCUAGUUGGUAAGGUAACGGCUUACCAAGGCCACGAUGCAUAGCCGACGUGAGAGGGUGAUCGGCCACCCGGGAACGGGAACACGGUCCAUACGCCUAAGGGAGGCAGCAGUAGGGAAUCUUCCGCAAUAGUCGAAAGCCUGACGCAGCAGCGCCGCGCGAGUGAUGACGGUCUUCGGAUCGUAAAACUCUGUUAUGAGGGAAGAACAUAUGUGUAAGUAAAUGUGCACAUCUUGACGGUACCUAAUCAGAAAGCCACGGCUAACUACGUG
rnacentral:rRNA from 1 species